rnacentral:rRNA from 1 species
GCAUAGUGCUUUACUUCUCUAAGCCUCAGUUUCUCUAUGUGAAAAAUGGAGCUAAGCAGGGUCGGGCCUGGUUAGUACUUGGAGGGGAGACCACCUAAGAAGACCCAGUUCUGUAGGCG